rnacentral:rRNA from 1 species
GCUUGUCUCAAAGAUUAAGCCAUGCAUGUCUAAGUAUAACUCUUUUACUUUGAAAACUGCGAACGGCUCAUUAUAUCAGUUAUAGUUUCUUUGAUAGUCCCUUACUACUUGGAUACCCGUAGUAAUUCUAGAGCUAAUACAUGCAUCAAUACCCAACUGUUCGCGGAAGGGUAGUAUUUAUUAGAUCCAACCAGCCCGGUUCGCCGGAGUCCCUGGUGAGUCAUAAUAACUGAGCGAAUCGCAUGGCCUUGCGCCGGCGAUGGUUCAUUCAAGUUUCUGCCCUAUCAGCUUUCGAUGGUAGGGUAUUGGCCUACCAUGGCGUUAACGGGUAACGGAGAAUUAGGGUUCGAUUCCGGAGAGGGAGCCUGAGAAACGGCUACCACAUCCAAGGAAGGCAGCAGG